CCUACGGGAGGCAGCAGUGGGGAAUCUUAGACAAUGGGGGCAACCCUGAUCUAGCCAUGCCGCGUGAGUGAUGAAGGCCUUAGGGUCGUAAAGCUCUUUCGCCUGUGAUGAUAAUGACAGUAGCAGGUAAAGAAACCCCGGCUAACUCCGUGCCAGCAGCCGCGGUAAUACGGAGGGGGUUAGCGUUGUUCGGAAUUACUGGGCGUAAAGCGCGCGUAGGCGGAUUAGAAAGUUGGGGGUGAAAUCCCGGGGCUCAACCCCGGAACUGCCUCCAAAACUGCUAGUCUAGAGUUCGAGAGAGGUGAGUGGAAUUCCGAGUGUAGAGGUGAAAUUCGUAGAUAUUCGGAGGAACACCAGUGGCGAAGGCGGCUCACUGGCUCGAUACUGACGCUGAGGUGCGAAAGUGUGGGGAGCAAACAGGAUUAGAUACCCUGGUAGUCCACACCGUAAACGAUGAAUGCCAGUCGUCGGGUAGUAUACUAUUCGGUGACACACCUAACGGAUUAAGCAUUCCGCCUGGGGAGUACGGUCGCAAGAUUAAAACUCAAAGGAAUUGACGGA
rnacentral:rRNA from 1 species